rnacentral:rRNA from 1 species
GAUGAACGCUGGCGGCGUGCCUAAUACAUGCAAGUCGAGCGAACAGACGAGGAGCUUGCUCCUCUGACGUUAGCGGCGGACGGGUGAGUAACACGUGGAUAACCUACCUAUAAGACUGGGAUAACUUCGGGAAACCGGAGCUAAUACCGGAUAAUAUAUUGAACCGCAUGGUUCAAUAGUGAAAGACGGUUUUGCUGUCACUUAUAGAUGGAUCCGCGCCGCAUUAGCUAGUUGGUAAGGUAACGGCUUACCAAGGCAACGAUGCGUAGCCGACCUGAGAGGGUGAUCGGCCACACUGGAACGGAGACACGGUCCAGACUCCUACGGGAGGCAGCAGUAGGGAAUCUUCGGCAAUGGGCGAAAGCUUGACGGAGCAACGCCGCGUGAGUGAUGAAGGUCUUCGGAUCGUAAAACUCUGUUAUUAGGGAAGAACAAAUGUGUAAGUAACUAUGCACGUCUUGACGGUACCUAAUCAGAAAGCCACGGCUAACUACGUG